UGCCACAUCGGUCUGUUAGUCAGAAGUGUACCCCGCUCUGAUUAGCUACUAAUCGCCUUGUUUUAUUUUUACUCGCGUCAGUUUGACGUUUUCAAAAGAGAAUUGUUAAUAAAUAAUCGUUUUAUUAUUUUUAUUCGCCGAACCCAGUUAUCGUUCAAUUUUACGUACGCGUCACCUCAUUUGGAAAACGCGGUCAGCCUCCUUGGUGUCAAUUAACAACAGUUCAAUUUCAUGUAAAAACAAAAAAGUAAGUUUGGUUAAUUUUUUCCUAAUGAUAUUGAUGGGAUACUCAAUUUGCGAACACAACUAAAUUCCAUACGAAUUACGUACCAUAGCGCUUCUCUAAUAUAAAUUCCAUAUAGCCAAAAUCCUUAUAUAUCGAAAAUUUUUUAUUUAUUUAAAAACUACAAAAUCCUUGAUUUUCCCGCCAUAGUUUAAUAAAUUCCCUGAUUAUCAACCAGGGUGAAUCCUAUGAGACGAAAUGGCGAUGUUUAUUUUUUAUAAUGCCAAGAGUGCAGAGUUUUUUUAUUAAAAUUAAAAAACUUAUGCACAUAUACCACAAGAACUCUUGGUCCUGCUACAAGACACACCCUGUAUAUGAAAAACGUAAAUAAUUUCUGUUGUUGCAACUAAUCAAACUUACCGGCAUAUAAAUAUUACCGGACCGCUAAGAACCAGUUCUUCUGAGGGUAAACGAACUAUAAAAAGAUGGAUACGAAGAUAAAAUAUAUUUACGUUAACCAGCUGUUUCAAGCAUGGGUCAAUGUUAUUUUAUCGCUGUCUUUGUUUUAAAUAUACUGAUUAUUGGUGAAGUGUUUGGAAGGCCUGUCGAUAUAAGACAUGAAACGGUAUUGCUUGGCGCUCAUCCACCUGAAAGGACAGAAGUUUUAAUCAACAAUGCCAUGGUAGCGGGAGGAAUGCUCUACAGAUUUUUCCGCACUGUAUAUAGACUGGGAACAAUAAUGGCGAGUUACAUGCCUCGGCCACCUAUACCUUCUCCCUUUUAAGUUUUUAAUAACGUUUGCACAUAUUAUACUAGUUAGGGUAGUAUUACUAGAAUUAUUAUAAGUAAAAUAUAUAUAUUGUUUUAAUGAAUUUAUAAUAAUAAGUUAUCUAUUAUAUUCACUAUUACGUUACAAUUUGUUUAAAUAAAAAAUACAUUUUAAAAAUAC